CACGUAGGGCGCAAGCGUUGUCCGGAAUUAUUGGGCGUAAAGAGCUCGUAGGCGGUCUGUUGCGUCCGCUGUGAAAACUCGGGGCUUAACCCCGAGCCUGCAGUGGAUACGGGCAGACUAGAGGUAGGUAGGGGAGAAUGGAAUUCCCGGUGUAGCGGUGAAAUGCGCAGAUAUCGGGAGGAACACCGGUGGCGAAGGCGGUUCUCUGGGCCUUACCUGAUGCUGAGGAGCGAAAGCGUGGGGAGCGAACAGG
rnacentral:rRNA from 1 species